rnacentral:rRNA from 1 species
GAUGAACGCUGGCGGCGUGCCUAAUACAUGCAAGUCGAGCGAACAGACGAGGAGCUUGUUCCUCUGACGGUAGCGGCGGGCGGGCGAGUAACGCGUGGAUAGCAUACCUAUUAUUCUGGGAGGACUUCGGGAAACAGGUUCCAAUAACGCAUAAUAUAUUCAACCGCAUGGUUCAAUAGUGAUUGACGGCUUUGCUGUCUCUUAUAGACGGAUUCGUGUCGGAUUAGCUAGUUGGUAAGGUACCGGCUUACCAAGGCGACGAUGCGUAGCCGAUCUGAGAGGAUGAUCAGCCACACUGGAACUGAGACACGGUCCAGACUCCUACGGGAGGCAGCAGUGGGGAAUAUUGGACAAUGGGCGAAAGCCUGACCCAGCCAUACCGCGUGGGUGAAGAAGGCCUUCGGGUUGUAAAGCCCUUUUGUUGGGAAAGAAAAGCAGCAGGUGAAUCUCCGGCCGUUCUGACGGUACCCAAAGAAUAAGCACCGGCUAACUUCGUG